AUUGAACGCUGGCGGCAGGCCUAACACAUGCAAGUCGAACGGAUGGCGGACGGGUGAGUAAUGUCUGGGAAACUGCCUGAUCGAGGGGGAUAACUACUGGAACAGGUAGCAAAUACUGCAUACCAUCGGUUGGGCCCAGUUGGGAUGAGCUAGUGGGGGGGGUAAAGGCUCACCUAGGCGACGAUCCCUAGCUGGCCUGCGAGGAUGACCGGCCACACUGGAACGGAGACACGGUCCAGACUCCUACGGGAGGCAGCAGUGGGGAAUUUUGCGCAAUGGGCGCAAGCCUGAUGAAGCCAUGCCGCGUGUGUGAAGAAGGCCUUCGGGUUGUAAAAUUCUUUCAGCAGGGAGGCGUUACCCACAGAGAAAGCACCGGCUAACUCCGGGCCAGCAGCCGCGGUAAUAC
rnacentral:rRNA from 1 species